rnacentral:rRNA from 1 species
GUGCCGNNGCCGCGGUAAUACGUACNGUGGCAAGCGUUGUCCGGAUUUAUUGGGCGUAAAGCGAGCGCAGGCGGUUCUUUAAGUCUGAUGUGAAAGCCCCCGGCUCAACCGGGGAGGGUCAUUGGAAACUGGAGAACUUGAGUGCAGAAGAGGAGAGUGGAAUUCCACGUGUAGCGGUGAAAUGCGUAGAUAUGUGGAGGAACACCAGUGGCGAAGGCGACUCUCUGGUCUGUAACUGACGCUGAGGCUCGAAAGCGUGGGGAACAAACAGGAUUAGAUACCCUGGUAGUCCACGCSGUAAACGAUGAGUGCUAAGGUSUUGRAGGGUUUCCGCCCUUCAGUGCUGCAGCUAACGCAUUAAGCMCUCCGCCUGGGGAGUACGACCCGCAAGGGUUGAAACUCAAAAGGAAUUGACGGGGACCCGCACAAGCGGUGGAGCCAUGUGGUUUAAUUCKRAGCAACGCGAAGAACCUUACCAGGUCUUGACAUCCUUUUGACCACCCUAGAGAUAGGGCUUUUCCCUUCCGGGGACAAAGUGACAGGKGGUGCAUGGUUGUCGUCAGCUCGUGUCGUGAGAUGUUGGGUUAAGUCCCGCAACGAGCGCAACCCCUAUUAUUAGUUGCCAGCAUUCAGUUGGGCACUCUAAUGAGACUGCCGGUGAUAAACCUGAGGAAGGUGUGGAUGACGUCAAAUCAUCAUGCCCCUUAUGACCUGGGCUACACACGUGCUACAAUGGAUGGUACAACGAGUCGCAAGGUCGCGAGGCCAAGCUAAUCUCUUAAAGCCAUUCUCAGUUCGGAUUGUAGGCUGCAACUCGCCUACAAGAAGCCGGAAUCGCUAGUAAUCGCGGAUCAGCACGCCGCGGUGAAUACGUUCCCGGGUCUUGUACACACCGCCCGUC